rnacentral:misc_RNA from 1 species
UCCGGUUUGUCACCGGCAGUCUGGCGUGAGUCCCCAACUAAAUGCUGGCAACACGCCACGGGGGUUGCGCUCGUUGCGGGACUUAACCCAACAUCUCACGACACGAGCUGACGACAGCCAUGCAGCACCUGUGGCGCACCCUCGAAGGUCACACGUUUCCGUGCGCUUGCAGCGCCAUGUCAAGCCCAGGUAAGGUGGGGAUGACGUCGUAUCUCACUG